AGAGGUGUAGCUCAGGGUUAGAGCAUCUGCUUUGCAUGAAGAAGGCUCCAGGUUUUGUCCCUGGCGUCUGCA